rnacentral:rRNA from 1 species
AUUGAACGCUGGCGGCAGGCUUAACACAUGCAAGUCGAGCGGGGUGAUGGUGCUUGCACUAUCACUUAGCGGCGGACGGGUGAGUAAUGCUUAGGAAUCUGCCUAUUAGUGGGGGACAACAUCUCGAAAGGGAUGCUAAUACCGCAUACGUCCUACGGGAGAAAGCAGGGGAUCACUUGUGACCUUGCGCUAAUAGAUGAGCCUAAGUCGGAUUAGCUAGUUGGUGGGGUAAAGGCCUACCAAGGCGACGAUAUGUAGCGGGUCUGAGAGGAUGAUCAGCCACACAGGGACUGAGACACGGCCCAGACUCCUACGGGAGGCAGCAGUGGGGAAUAUUGGACAGUGGGGGGAACCCUGAUCCAGCCAUGCCGCGUGUGUGAAGAAGGCCUUAUGGUUGUAAAGCACUUUAAGCGAGGAGGAGGCUCUUUUGGUUAAUACCCAAGAUGAGUGGACGUUACUCGCAGAAUAAGCACCGGCUAACUCUGUGCCAGCCGCCGCAGUAACAC